AUUGAACGCUGGCGGCAUGCCUUACACAUGCAAGUCGAACGGCAGCACGGGUGCUUGCACCUGGUGGCGAGUGGCGAACGGGUGAGUAAUACAUCGGAACGUACCUUAUCGUGGGGGAUAACGCAGCGAAAGCUGUGCUAAUACCGCAUACGCCCUGAGGGGGAAAGCGGGGGAUCGCAAGACCUCGCGCGAUUAGAGCGGCCGAUGCCUGAUUAGCUUGUUGGUGGGGUAAAAGCCCACCAAGGCGACGAUCAGUAGCUGGUCUGAGAGGACGAUUAGCCACACUGGGACGGAGACACGGCCCAGACUCCGACGGUAGGCAGCAGUGGGGAAUUUUGGACAAUGGGGGCAACCCUGCUCCAGCAAUGCCGCGUGAGUGAAGGAGGCCUUCGGGUUGUAAAGCUCUUUUGUCAGGGAAGAAACACCGGCUCUAACACAGUCCGGGAAUGACGGUACCUGAAGAAUAAGCACCGGCUAACUACGUGCCAGCCGCCGCGGUAA
rnacentral:rRNA from 1 species